rnacentral:rRNA from 1 species
UACAGAGGGGGCAAGCGUUAUUCGGAAUUAUUGGGCGUAAAGGGCGCGUAGGCGGCAAGGCAAGUGGAAGGUGAAAUCCCUCGGCUUAACCGAGGAACUGCCCUCCAAACUGCUUUGCUUGAGGACGGAAGAGGCUCGCGGAAUUCCCAGUGUAGAGGUGAAAUUCGUAGAUAUUGGGAAGAACACCGGUGGCGAAGGCGGCGAGCUGGUCCGUAUCUGACGCUGAGGCGCGACAGCGUGGGGAGCAAACAGG